rnacentral:lncRNA from 1 species
UCUUCAAUUGUCCUGGUGUCUUGCUAUCCCCUAUUGAGGCUUACCUAGCGUCUUGCUGCCCGUACUGCAGACUGCCGUACUGCAGACUGGUCAGCUGGUCUACUGGCUUGGCAUCAAGCUGGCCGCUCUGCACACCUUGUGGCACGAUCUUCCAGCAGCCUGUUGCCUUGCUACGUGGCCUGCAGACCUUGUGGCUAGCUGUCCUAGAGAUCUG